UUGAACGAAGCCAAAGAGAGGCCUAUCACUGUUAAUGAUAAAAAUGAUGUUAAAUCCGUUUAAG
rnacentral:tRNA from 1 species